UCUAUACAUGACUCUGCGCAUAUCAAUAAGCGGAGGAAAAGAAACUAACAAGGAUUCCCCUAGUAACGGCGAGUGAAGCGGGAAGAGCUCAAAUUUGAAAUCUUAAAGGGUUUCCCUUUACGAAUUGUAGUUUAAAGAAGUGUUUUCUGUUGAGGUUUUGGUAAAAGUUCUUUGGAAUAGGACAUCAUAGAGGGUGAGAAUCCCGUAUUUGACCUUUACUUUCAACUUUGUGAUACACUUUCAAGGAGUCGGAUUGUUUGGGAAUGCAGUCCAAAAUGGGUGGUAAAUUUCAUCUAAAGCUAAAUAUUGGCGAGAGACCGAUAGCGAACAAGUACCGUGAGGGAAAGAUGAAAAGAACUUUGAAAAGAGAGUUAAACAGUACGUGUAAUUGUCAAAAGGGAAGCGUUUGACACCAGUGUUGUUUUUCUGAAAAUCAAUUAAAGAACUGUUUAUGCUAAGCUGUUUAGACUUUAUCAGCUAUCUGUUUAGUUUUGAGCUUUUCUUUAAUGCACUUUUCAGUUAACAAGUCAACAUCAAUUUCUUUUGCUGUAAAAAAGCUUGAGGAAGGUGGCUUGAGAUUCGUCUUAAGUGUUUAUAGCCUCUUGCCUAUGCAGUCGGAGAGAUUGAGGUCUGCAGCGUAGAUCCUUCGGGGCUAAAUGCAUUUGUGCUAAGUUAUAGCAUUUUAUAGACAACUUGUUGACUAUGAUUUGUCUUGUAGCUUACUCGCUUAUGUUAUUUUACCUACGCUUAGGAUGUUGAUCUACAGAGCGAGAGU
rnacentral:rRNA from 1 species